AGGGAGAGCGCUGGAACCUACGCUGUGUCCCCCAGCACCCUGGGCUCCUUGUGGUCCUGUGUUGCUGGAAUCGUGCUCCCGGCCGCGCAGCCCCCU
rnacentral:pre_miRNA from 1 species